GACUGCAGAGCAUUGCUAGCAGUUAACACUCAGCAGUUAAAUCAUUUAGCCCUGAAUGGUGUGCUAUUUGAUGCCUUCCCCUAAAAGGUGGAGAGAUGAAGAAGCAGUAGAGUUUGAACAGGCCAGCAAAAAGAUAAAAAUCAACAGGGAUUAGGAAGGUGAAAAGAAAGAGAGAAAAAUAAAUCCCUGCCAAAUCUGCUUUCAUGUGUCCAACCUGUUUACGUUCUGUGCUAGAGUAACACCGAUCUGACUCACUGCUGGCAUUAAUGAAGUUUGCACCGUUGGGUGAGCAAUUUAAUUUAUCUCAGCAAGCCAAAGCUCAUUAUAACAGUCUGUAAAUGCUAUCAGAUGAAAGCAGCAUCCUUCAGCAAUCUCGGGGAUUAAAGCAAGGAGGCAUUCAACUGACUAGGCUUGUGCUGGAAGGACUGCGGUCGGAGCAUGUGUGUUGCAGGCUGAGGAGGAACAGCACCUCCGUUGCUGUGGGUUUCUCCGUAUCAAGAAAGUGAUCCGGAGCCUCUGCACCGCUCGUCCGGAGGAUUUCUCCAAAGACCAAAGUAGAGAAGGUGCCUGCCUGCAGAGGAGGACACGGUGGGAUGCUGUUCUGUGCACACCUGAGAACCAGACGUGGUCCUUGCUUGUGAUGUGCUUCCUCUGGGCUUGUGCAGGGGAGGAUGCUGGAGCAGCCCCAUCUAUGGCAGAGCUCUGUAUGGGAAUGAUACCCUGUACUGGGAGAAUAUCUUCAGUCUGCUGUCAUCGUGAGGAGUGAGCCAACAUUCAAUGAGCAUCAGUUAUCACUUGACAGUUGCCUCCAUUGUCUCUGAUCAAAACAGCAGCUCGGGGAACUGUGGCUGUGAGUGGCAGGAACGUCUGAGAGGUUGUGUCAGAUCUCUUCCAUCCACCACUCAACCUGUCAAAUGUAAAUGUAAUUUGCUGUGAUACAGGCACGAUGUCA